GACGAACCGUGCGAACGUUGUUCGGAAUCACUGGGCUUAAAGGGCGCGUAGGCGGGCGAGCAAGUUCGGGGUGAAAUCUUUCGGCUCAACCGGAAAAGGGCCUCGGAGACUGCUCGUCUGGAGGGAGGUAGGGGCAGGUGGAACUGCUGGUGGAGCGGUGAAAUGUGUUGAUAUCGGAAGGAACGCCGGUAGCGAAAGCGACACACUGGACCGGUACUGACGCUGAUGCGCGAAAGCGUGGGGAGCAAACGGG
rnacentral:rRNA from 1 species